rnacentral:rRNA from 1 species
CACUCCUGCGGGAGGCAGCAGUGGGGAAUAUUGGACAAUGGGCGCAAGCCUGAUCCAGCCAUGCCGCGUGAGUGAUGAAGGCCCUAGGGUUGUAAAGCUCUUUCACCGGUGAAGAUAAUGACGGUAACCGGAGAAGAAGCCCCGGCUAACUUCGUGCCAGCAGCCGCGGUAAUACGAAGGGGGCUAGCGUUGUUCGGAUUUACUGGGCGUAAAGCGCACGUAGGCGGACUAUUAAGUCAGGGGUGAAAUCCCGGGGCUCAACCCCGGAACUGCCUUUGAUACUGGUAGUCUUGAGUUCGAGAGAGGUGAGUGGAAUUCCGGGUGUAGAGGUGAAAUUCGUAGAUAUUCGGAGGAACACCAGUGGCGAAGGCGGCUCACUGGCUCGAUACUGACGCUGAGGUGCGAAAGCGUGGGGAGCAAGCAGGAUUAGAAACCCUAGUAGUCCCAUG